rnacentral:lncRNA from 1 species
AUAGAAUUUAAUGCUUUCAGUUGUGCCAAAUCCCAUUGACUGCUCCUUUUAUAUUUCUCAACUUACCCUAUUUUUCAAAAAGCCACUUUUCACAAAGCCACUGUUUCAGGUUUUCUAUCAAAAAAAAAAUAAAAAAAAUGUAAGUAUUUUGGAAUCAAAUCAUCAUAGUCAGAGAGAAAGUUUUUUUCUUUCAUUUAUUCUGAAAUCAUCACUGUUGAAAGAUCUUUUUUUUUCCUUCAUAAUCAAAGACCCAUUUUUGGAUUAUUAGUGGGGACAGAAAAGAUGAUAUAAAGUAACCAUUUUUGAGUUGGUAUAAGGCUUUUAAUGUAUAUAUAUAGUAUAGUACAAUUUUACAGCAAAAAAUAUGCAGUGUAAUAUUGUACUAUAGUGUUAUUUAUUUAUUUAAUUAUUUUGGUUUGAAAUAAAUAAAGGAGGAAACUUUUUUGAUUAUGUGAAAUGGGAAGAAAAAAAACUGAAAUGGGUAUUUGAAAUACUACUCAAUGAGUUGUUUGAACAAACUCAUCACGGGUUGUUUUUUUCUCAGUGGGUAUCUUUCAUAUGUAAAAAUAGUACACAUUGCUCCAGAAAGUGUUGCAAUUGUUUUAGGAUAAUAAUAAUAAUAAUACAAGAGAGUGAAUUGGAAGCAUUUGUCUCUGCUUUUUGUAGUUUUGGAGAGAUUGUUAUUGGGUCAGUGGAGAAUGAAUUCGGCGCUCUUUCUCUUUUUUGAAUUUAUUUAAGAUUCAUUUUACAAUAAAGAACCUGUUUUUGAGGUCUUGAUGUUGAUUUUUCAUUUUUAGCUUAUGAUUUAUUGUUAUUAUAACUUUUUUCUUAGGAUUUUUACCUUUAUGUUUUGUCUCUAAUUCUUGUCUUUUUAUUAUGGGGUGUUUAGAUUUUGAAGUUUUUUUGCAAGUAUUUUCAAAGGGUUUAUUUAUUUAUUUAUUUAUUGAGUUUCUCUCUGCUAACUUUCUGUGACAUCUUUUUGUCUUAUAAUGCAGUUUUUCACGAGGUAUUGUCAGAAGUUUUUAUAUAUUUUUCAAAAAAAGUUCCCAUCUUUAUCCAAAUUUCACCACUGUUUCUUUAUUAAUAAUUCUCUACUAGUGAUUAUGCUAUAGAUUCUUUUACAUGUUCUCUCUCUUUUUUUGAAAUUUUACCACAAUUCCCUCGUAUUGCGUUUAUACAACAUUUGGUUUCACUUGGUUGUUACACUUGUUCACUCUCUUUCAUUCUAACACACACAUUUUUAGUUAUUUGACAUUGUUUUUUCUCAUUCACUCACACUUCAGAUUUUGACUCAAAAAGAAGUACUUAUGGGAAAAGCUAGCAGGUGGUUGAAGAGUUUGUUAGGGAAGAAGAAGGAGAAGGACCACAAUGACAAUUCAGGUUCAUUGACACCUGACAAGAAGGAGAAGAAAAGGUGGAGUUUUGCUAAGCAAGGGAAGGAAGUGAUGGUGGUUGAAUCACCUAAUAUUACUCCAACUUCAACUCAUGAUACUUCUUGGCUUAGAUCCUAUGUUUCUGAUUCGGAGAAUCAACAAAACAAACAUGCAAUUGCUGUUGCAGCUGCCACAGCCGCCGCUGCAGAUGCUGCCGUGGCGGCUGCACAGGCUGCUGUUGCAGUUGUGAGACUCACAAGUCAAGGUAGAGGUACAUUGUUCAGUGGAAGUAGGGAGAAAUGGGCUGCUGUAAAGAUCCAAACUUUCUUUAGAGGCUAUUUGGUAUGUUUGUUCCUUUUGACUUUUUUGUUUUUGUUAUGGUUCAAAUUUUAUGUUAGUGUUUAUUUUUCUCAUUUUCUCAGUUUUCGCAACUAGUAUUGAUUUGAUAAAAAUUGUAUUUUUUUUAUGAUUCUGUGUUGGGACAAAGAUAUUUUGGUUUGGUAUGAGUUUAAGUGUUUUGCUUGAUUCCUACUCCUUUGUCUGGUCUCAAAAGGUGAGAAAGUGUUUUUUUUUUUUUUUUUUUAAGAUUCUUAAUGAAACAGUGUCCCUCUAUUCUGUUUUAGAUCCUUGAAACAAGUGGCAUAUACUUUCCCUUUUCUCAACACAAUCUCUUUGACUUGUCUUGUUUUUUCAAAUCCUCAUUUUCUGUUAAAGCUAUUGGAUUAGAUUCUCUUUGAACCAUCUCCUAGAAUUUUUAACAUAGUUUCAAUUUUACAAGCAUUUGAGUAAGUCUUAAUUUCUUGUUUAGGCUUUAUGUUCUAGUUUUUUGUUGUGCUUUUGGUAUUUGACUCAAACUUUGUUGUUGUUUGAUUAAUUUUCAGGCACGGAAGGCUCUUAGAGCAUUGAAAGGAUUGGUUAAGAUACAAGCUCUUGUUAGAGGCUAUCUAGUUAGAAAAAGAGCUGCUGCAACUCUUCACAGUAUGCAAGCUCUAAUAAGAGCUCAAACUUCUGUUAGAACACAGCGAGCUCGUCGAUCCAUGAGCAAAGAAAAUAGAUUUCUACCAGAAGUUCUUGCAAGAAAAUCUUUGGUAAGAAAAAAUUUAUUUUCUUCUUCUUCUUAGUUAAUUUAUUUAUCAUCUAUUGAUGCACUCUGAGUCUGUGACUAUUUACACACAUACUAUAAAAACACAAAUACAAGAUUUUUAUUGAAAGUCAGUGUAAAAUAAUAGUGUUUUAUUGUGUUUUGUUUUUUAUUGUUUAGGAACGAUUUGAUGAAACAAGGAGUGAAUUCCACAGCAAAAGGGUACCUACAUUAUAUGAAACAUCAAUGAAUGGAUUUGAUGAUCAAAGUCCAAAAAUUGUUGAAAUUGAUACAUACAAAACCAGAUCAAAGUCAAGGCGAUUUACAUCAACAAUGUCUGAAUGUGGAGAAGACUUACCACAUUGUCAUGGAAUCUCAUCUCCUCUUCCUUGUUCGAUCCCCGGUCGAGUCUCGGUCCCCGAUCAUUGCAGACAUGUUCAACAAGACUU